UACGGAGUGGGCGAGCGUUAAUCGGAAUUACUGGGCGUAAAGCGUGCGCAGGCGGUUGGCAAAGUCAGCUGUGAAAGCCCCGGGCUCAAACUGGGAAUGGCGGUUGAAACUAGUCGACUAGAAUCUGGCAGAGGGGGGUGGAAUUCCACGUGUAGCAGUGAAAUGCGUAGAGAUGUGGAGGAACACCGAUGGCGAAGGCAGCCCCCUGGGCUGAGAUUGACGCUCAGGCACGAAAGCGUGGGGAGCAAACAGG
rnacentral:rRNA from 1 species